rnacentral:rRNA from 1 species
GGGGGGAUACUGCACAAUGGGCGAAAGCCUGAUGCAGCGACGCCGCGUGGGGGAUGAAGGCCUUCGGGUUGUAAACUUCUUUUAUACGGGAAUAACGGGCGAUACGAGUAUUGCAUUGAAUGUACCGUAAGAAUAAGCAUCGGCUAACUCCGUGCCAGCAGCCGCGGUAAUACGGAGGAUGCGAGCGUUAUCCGGAUUUAUUGGGUUUAAAGGGUGCGUAGGUUGUUCGGUAAGUCAGCGGUGAAACCUGAGCGCUCAACGUUCAGCCUGCCGUUGAAACUGCCGGGCUUGAGUUCAGUGGCGGCAGGCGGAAUUCGGGGUGUAGCGGUGAAAUGCAUAGAUAUCGCGAGGAACUCCGAUUGCGAAGGCAGCUUGCCAUACUGCGACUGACACUGAAGCACGAAGGCGUGGGUAUCAAACGGG